CUGCCUCUGCGGUGUUCGAGCCCGGUCUGUACAAAUUUGUGGACCCUACAUCAGUUCCGCAGGGAGCCGCUGACACCCCGGCCGCGUGUAUAUCCGGACGGCUAUGCCGGUACCGGCUCACACAACCCGGGGGCGCGGCGCCCACCUGAGAUUGCGGGUCUGAACAAAACAGCCCGAACGGCAUUUGCGGAGGUUUU
rnacentral:other from 1 species